AGGGAGUUCAGUCAUGGGUGGGGACAGCUCAGGCUCAAGUCCUGGAAGAUGAGGCUGUCUUCCCCAAGCAAAGUUCUUGGCAGCCAGGGCCUGGACAGACAAGGAGAUUCAGGGCCCCAGGACAAGUAGGGCCUGUCCUCACCUGUCUUCGAAUCCGUUCUGUCCUCCUUGGUACAGGGGACAGCACAGACUCCAUUUAUAAAAGCUGGUGCCAGCUCCAUACCAAGUGCUGCAAAAGUGCCCACAACCCGUGGUCCUCCAGCCUGCUGGACUCUGGCAGCCCAGUGAGGAGUGAGGGUGGCCUGCACGCAAGGAACAGGGAGGGCGCUGCUCGUGACCACUGGAGCUUCCCAGGAGGACAGACAGCAGAGCAUCCAGGUGGUGGCACCGGCAGGGUGGAGCUAGGUGCUGUGGGAAACCAUCCGUCUGCAGCAUCAGGAGGGUCACAGGAAGACCAGCGGGCAGCCCGGGGAGCAGGACAUACAGAAUUGGAACCAGAAGUCAGACCCAGCAGGCCCGGGGCCAG
rnacentral:lncRNA from 1 species